rnacentral:rRNA from 1 species
CUGAUGUUAGCGGCGGACGGGUGAGUAACACGUGGGUAACCUACCUAUAAGACUGGGAUAACUCCGGGAAACCGGGGCUAAUACCGGAUAAUAUUUUGAACCGCAUGGUUCAAUAGUGAAAGACGGUUUCGGCUGUCACUUAUAGAUGGACCCGCGCCGUAUUAGCUAGUUGGUAAGGUAACGGCUUACCAAGGCGACGAUACGUAGCCGACCUGAGAGGGUGAUCGGCACACUGGAACUGAGACACGGUCCAG